rnacentral:misc_RNA from 1 species
GUAUAUUUUUUUUUUCUAUCCCCAGUACUCGUUAUUUGUUGUGAAAAUGUAUUAUAACAUAGACCUGGAAGAAGCCAUCAUCCCUCAAAUAAUCUCCAGGUCUACAAUAUGUGCACAGUUGGAAAAAUAAAGACGGACAAGCGUGCACAUGUCUGUGUCGACCAGCAACAGCCUGUUCAGGUUUAUUUCAAUAAUGAUCCUUCCGCAGGUUCACCUACGGAAA